rnacentral:rRNA from 1 species
GACGGAGGAUGCAAGCGUUAUCCGGAAUGAUUGGGCGUAAAGCGUCUGCGGGUGGCAGUUCAAGUCUGCUGUCAAAGACCGGGGCUUAACUUCGGAAAGGCAGUGGAAACUGAACAGCUAGAGUAUGGUAGGGGCAGAGGGAAUUCCUGGUGUAGCGGUGAAAUGCGUAGAGAUCAGGAAGAACAUCGGUGGCGAAGGCGCUCUGCUGGACCAUAACUGACACUCAGGGACGAAAGCUAGGGGAGCGAAUGGG